rnacentral:rRNA from 1 species
AUUGAACGCUGGCGGCAGGCCUAACACAUGCAAGUCGAGCGGAGCGGCUGACGGGUUAAUAAUGCCUAGGAAUCUUCCUGGUCGUUGGGGAUAACGUCCGCAAACGGUCUCUAAUACCGCAUACUAUCCGUUGAGCCUAGGUCGGAUUAGCUAGUUUGUGGGGUAAAGGCCUACGAAGGCGCCGAUCCGUCACUGGUCUGAGAGGAUGAUCAGUCACACUGGAACUGGGACACGGUCCAGACGCAUACGGGAGGCAGCAGGGGUGAAUAUUGGGCAAUGGGCGAAAGCCUGAGCCAGCCAUGCCGCGUGUGUGAAGAAGGUCUUCGGAUUGUAAAGCACUUUAAGUUGGGAGGCGUUACCAACAGAAUAAGCACCGGCUAACUUCGUGCCAGCAGCCGCGGUAAUUC